AGCCCCUGGUGAUCCCCGUGGUGGUCCGGAGCGUGUGCCCUUGCCAGGUCACAGUCUCCUUGCGGCUCUCUCUGCAGACCGGAGUGGA
rnacentral:SRP_RNA from 1 species